rnacentral:rRNA from 1 species
UACAGAGGUCUCGAGCGUUGUUCGGAAUCACUGGGCGUAAAGGGUGCGUAGGUGGCGUGGAAAGUCAGAUGUGAAAUCCGGAGGCUCAACCUCCGAAUUGCAUCCGAUACUCCCAUGCUAGAGAACUGGAGGGGAGUCUGGAAUUCUCGGUGUAGCAGUGAAAUGCGUAGAUAUCGAGAGGAACACCUGCGGCGAAGGCGGGUUGCUGGGCUGACACUGACGCUGAUGCGCGAAAGCUAGGGGAGCGAACGGG